CCCCCAGAGAGUCACCUGAAUGCAGCCCUUACACUGACCAAUCACUGGUGAAUUCCAGCCCUCCUGCAACUCCCCUUCCCGUGAACACCUUUCUUUGGCCAAAGAUGCCAUGAUGUCCCCUUGUCCCCAUCAUUGGAUUAGAAAGAUCCCGAAGUUCCUUAGGCUGCUGGUUUUCAUCUGACGACGUGUAUCUGGCUGUGCUCAACUUGAAGAAUUCAGGAACCACAGGAAAGAGAGCCCAUCUGGAGAGGCAGAAAGGUGAAUGUUUGGAUUCAGCUGAGAGGAGCUCUGAGGCCAAGUCAGCAAAAGAGGAAGCAACAUGGAGGCAAAAUGGACAAAGCAGAAAUUCUCCCCUCCUUCCUUCCCUCCCUCCUCCUCUUCCCAUCCUUGGGAUUGGGUAUAAAAGACGGGUCUAUAAAAUCUUCCUGUCUUAGAAAUUUAUUUCCUUGUUUUAUAGAAAUGGGCGUAUUAGAUGUUCUCUAUCAUUUAAUAAUAUACUCAUGGACUAAAAGAUGUGUGUAUAAAACCAGCCACUAAUGCUAGAGUGGCACUUCUGCCUUUAUUCCUGUCAUUAGCCUGAAUAGAAAGGCCUUUAAAAUGGAAUUUUUAGCCCUGACUGGUUUGGCACAGUGGAUAGAGCGACAGCCUGCGGACUGAAGA